rnacentral:rRNA from 1 species
AUUGAACGCUGGCGGCAUGCCUUACACAUGCAAGUCGAACGGCAGCACGGGAGCAAUCCUGGUGGCGAGUGGCGAACGGGUGAGUAAUACAUCGGAACGUGCCCAGUAGUGGGGGAUAACCCGGCGAAAGCCGGACUAAUACCGCAUACGACCUACGGGUGAAAGCAGGGGAUCGCAAGACCUUGCGCUAUUGGAGCGGCCGAUGUCAGAUUAGCUUGUUGGGGGGUAAAAGCCUACCAAGGCAACGAUCUGUAGCUGGUCUGAGAGGACGACCAGCCACACUGGGACUGAGACACGGCCCAGACUCCUACGGGAGGCAGCAGUGGGGAAUUUUGGACAAUGGGCGCAAGCCUGAUCCAGCCAUGCCGCGUGCGGGAAGAAGGCCUGG